rnacentral:rRNA from 1 species
UUUAUGGAGAGUUUGAUCCUGGCUCAGGAUGAACGCUGGCGGCGUGCCUAAUACAUGCAAGUCGAGCGAACGGACGAGAAGCUUGCUUCUCUGAUGUUAGCGGCGGACGGGUGAGUAACACGUGGAUAACCUACCUAUAAGACUGGGAUAACUUCGGGAAACCGGAGCUAAUACCGGAUAAUAUUUUGAACCGCAUGGUUCAAAAGUGAAAGACGGUCUUGCUGUCACUUAUAGAUGGAUCCGCGCUGCAUNNGCUCUGGCNCUUAGNCNNCNNCUUACCAAGGCAACGAUGCAUAGCCGACCUGAGAGGGUGAUCGGCCACACUGGAACUGAGACACGGUCCAGACUCCUACGGGAGGCAGCAGUAGGGAAUCUUCCGCAAUGGGCGAAAGCCUGACGGAGCAACGCCGCGUGAGUGAUGAAGGUCUUCGGAUCGUAAAACUCUGUUAUUAGGGAAGAACAUAUGUGUAAGUAACUGUGCACAUCUUGACGGUACCUAAUCAGAAAGCCACGGCUAACUACGUGCCAGCAGCCGCGGUAAUACGUAGGUGGCAAGCGUUAUCCGGAAUUAUUGGGCGUAAAGCGCGCGUAGGCGGUUUUUUAAGUCUGAUGUGAAAGCCCACGGCUCAACCGUGGAGGGUCAUUGGAAACUGGAAAACUUGAGUGCAGAAGAGGAAAGUGGAAUUCCAUGUGUAGCGGUGAAAUGCGCAGAGAUAUGGAGGAACACCAGUGGCGAAGGCGACUUUCUGGUCUGUAACUGACGCUGAUGUGCGAAAGCGUGGGGAUCAAACAGGAUUAGAUACCCUGGUAGUCCACGCCGUAAACGAUGAGUGCUAAGUGUUAGGGGGUUUCCGCCCCUUAGUGCUGCAGCUAACGCAUUAAGCACUCCGCCUGGGGAGUACGACCGCAAGGUUGAAACUCAAAGGAAUUGACGGGGACCCGCACAAGCGGUGGAGCAUGUGGUUUAAUUCGAAGCAACGCGAAGAACCUUACCAAAUCUUGACAUCCUUUGACAACUCUAGAGAUAGAGCCUUCCCCUUCGGGGGACAAAGUGACAGGUGGUGCAUGGUUGUCGUCAGCUCGUGUCGUGAGAUGUUGGGUUAAGUCCCGCAACGAGCGCAACCCUUAAGCUUAGUUGCCAUCAUUAAGUUGGGCACUCUAAGUUGACUGCCGGUGACAAACCGGAGGAAGGUGGGGAUGACGUCAAAUCAUCAUGCCCCUUAUGAUUUGGGCUACACACGUGCUACAAUGGACAAUACAAAGGGCAGCGAAACCGCGAGGUCAAGCAAAUCCCAUAAAGUUGUUCUCAGUUCGGAUUGUAGUCUGCAACUCGACUACAUGAAGCUGGAAUCGCUAGUAAUCGUAGAUCAGCAUGCUACGGUGAAUACGUUCCCGGGUCUUGUACACACCGCCCGUCACACCACGAGAGUUUGUAACACCCGAAGCCGGUGGAGUAACCUUUUAGGAGCUAGCCGUCGAAGGUGGGACAAAUGAUUGGGGUGAAGUCGUAACAAGGUAGCCGUAUCGGAAGGUGCGGCUGGAUCACCUCCUUU